GCUGGUUUUCAGCCAAUCCAAUGUUUCAGAAUUCUGAGCUUUAGAGGAAACUUUCCACUUCCUUCACGGUGCCUUUUAGUGGAUUGCUUAGUACCAGCCCAGAAGAGUUGUAACAUCUGUUCCUGUUUCCUUUUUAUAUCUGCUCUGACUGCCCGCAUCCAAAAUAUAAUUAAGAAUCAUGGAUAUUUGUUGCCAAGACAUCUUUCCCAUAAUACUUCAUAAAACCCACAAUAACUACUUCAAAGCAUUUGGCAUUUCUGAAUAACUCUGGGAUACAUAAUGAAACAAGGAAGCAAAUCAGGAGGGCAAGACGCAGGAAGCAGGUUGAAUCUACACUUUUACCAGAUGGCAGUGUAGCCCUGAGGGAGCUUUUUUGAAAGAUAAAACAGCUAGCUCAGCACUCUGCUUGCGAACUGUUGCAGGCCCAGCCUCACCGUCUGAGUGAGUGAGUGAGAUGGCUACCUUAGGCUUCUGAUCUGGGGUGUGCUGAAUGGAUAGUAAUUUCUAUUGCUAUUGAUUACUAAUGAUUAAAAAGUCCUUUCUGUCCCAGCUGCCUGAAUACUUGGCUAGCCUUAAAUUUAAUGGUGAUCCACCAUUGACUGUUUCCAGCUGCUGUUUGUGAGGUUUGAAAGAUUACCUUCUCUGCCUCAGUUCUGCCAACUCAGCUCUUUCUUCCAUAGCAGCAUAUUAGCUACACAAAUCAUUGGUAAGAUCAUCACAAAGUUCACUCUCUCCUGCUGUUCCCAUUGCAUGUCACAGGAGCAACAAUGAAGGGAACAGCAAACUUAUAGCAAUCUUGCAAUUAAUCUUCCUAGCAAUCUGUCAACAAAAGGAGGGCACCUGAGUACGAAGAGAAAGGGAGGAAGUUUAGCGGACUCUUCUUAUGCUCCCUCCUGCUUCAUCCUGUGCCCUUUGCUGAGCCACCAACCUAAUCAAACAGACUCAGGGCGGCUUACAAUGUGCUCAGCAAUAUUAUCCUGA